rnacentral:rRNA from 1 species
ACGGGUGAGUAACACGUGGGUAAUCUGCCUUUGGGUGGGGAAUAACGGCCCGAAAGGGUCGCUAAUACCGCAUAACGCAGCGGCACCGCAUGGUGACAGUUGUUAAAGCGGGGGAUCGUAAGACCUCGCGCCUGAAGAGGAGCCCGCGCCCGAUUAGCUAGUUGGUGAGGUAACGGCUCACCAAGGCUGUGAUCGGUAGCCGGCCUGAGAGGGCGGCCGGCCACACUGGCACUGAGACACGGGCCAGACUCCUACGGGAGGCAGCAGUGGGGAAUUUUGGGCAAUGGGCGAAAGCCUGACCCAGCAACGCCGCGUGGAGGACGAAAUCCCUCCGGGAUGUAAACUCCGAAAGUCAGGGAAGAAAUGGUUCUGGAGAAUACCCAGAACAGAUGACGGUACCUGAUAUAAGCCCCGGCUAACUACGUGCCAGCAGCCGCGGUAAUACGUAGGGGGCAAGCGUUGUUCGGAAUUACUGGGCGUAAAGGGCGCGUAGGCGGCACGGCAAGUCGGGAGUGAAAGCCCGGGGCUCAACCCCGGAGGGUCUUCCGAAACUGCCGAGCUAGAGUGCGGAAGAGGCAACCGGA